ACUGCAUAAUGUUUCUCAAGAGCCUGUAAACCAAGUGGCUUCAGGAAUUAAAUAACUUUCCCGGCCCCCGCCCGGGACGACGGAAGAAUAAGAAGCUGCACUCUAGAGACAGCGGCAAGGACCAACGCCCACCCACUCAGGCGCUCACUCCCACGGGAGGAACCGGUUUAUGGAGUCUAUCAAAAUGCAUGCUGUUGCUCGUCCUUGUAUACUUCUGGAUAUUUGGGGGUUUGCUCUUUCCCGUCUUCUGGAGCCUUUCGGAGUCCUCCGUGGGAGCACCCCAGUUCUGGUUCCGCGGGGUCGGGUGCGCGUGCUGCAGCAGUUUUUCAGGGGUGCUGGGCUGAGAAUUGUGGAGAGGUCAGCCCCCAGGGAGGCUGAGCAUCUGCAGGGACAUCUACUUUUCGAGCAGUUAACUUGGAAGACCAGUAGCUUCGUUUCCUCAGUUCCUACCUAGUACCUGAGAAGCCCUUCCUGGAGGAC
rnacentral:lncRNA from 1 species